CGUUUGGUGGGGAGGCGCUGCCAGAUGGCGCCGGCGUCGCUAUGUUCAGGUAAGCAGUGACUGAGCGGCUGGUUCAGGUCACAGGCCAGCCGC
rnacentral:tRNA from 1 species